rnacentral:rRNA from 1 species
GCGUUGUCCGGAUUUAUUGGGCGUAAAGCGAGCGCAGGCGGUUUAAUAAGUCUGAAGUUAAAGGGCAGUGGCUUUAACCAUUGUUCGCUUUGGAAAACUGUUAAACUUGAGUGCAGAAGGGGGAGAGUGGAAUUCCAUGUGUAGCGGUGAAAUGCGUAGAUAUAUGGAGGAACACCGGUGGCGAAAGCGGCUCUCUGGUCUGUAACUGACGCUGAGGCUCGAAAGCGUGGGGAGCAAACAGGAUUAGAUACCCUGGUAGUCCACGCCGUAAACGAUGAGUGCUAGGUGUUAGGCCCUUUCCGGGGCUUAGUAGCCGCAGCUAACGCAUUAAGCACUCCGCCUGGGGGAGUACGACCGCAAGGUUGAAACUCUAAAGGAAUUGACGGGGGCCCGCACAAGCGGUGGAGCGUCGACGCGGCCG